AAAAAGAUUUUAGAUAAAUUCUGCUCAAUGAGUAAAUUAAAUAGCUGCAGUAAAUUAACUGUACUAAGGUAGCAUAAUAAGUUGCUUUAUAAUUAAAAGCUUGAAUGAAAGAAAUAAUGUGAAACAAGCUUUUUAAACUAAAGUAGUAAAAAUUAAUAUUUAAGUGAAAAAUCUUAAAUAAAAUCAAAAGACAAGAAGACCCUUUAGAACUUUACAAAUUAACUUAAUUUCAUUUGGUUAAUUUGUUAGAUUGGGGAGAUUUUUAAAUAAAUAAAUCUUUAGAUAUAAAAAAAUGAUUUAAAUCAAAUUAAAUUAUCCAAAUAUGAAAUAAAACAAGUUACCUAAGGGAUAACAGCGCAAAAUUUUUGAGAAGUUCUCAUUUACAAAAUAAAUUGCGACCUCGAUGUUGGAU
rnacentral:rRNA from 1 species